rnacentral:rRNA from 1 species
GACGAACGCUGGCGGCGUGCUUAACACAUGCAAGUCGAACGGAAACGCCCUGCUUUUGUGGGGUUCUCGAGUGGCGAACGGGUGAGUAACACGUGAGUACCCUUCCCGUGACUUUGGGAUAACUUCCGGAAACUGGGGCUAAUACCCGAUAGGAGCUCCUGCUGCAUGGUGGGGGUUGGAAAGCUUCGGCGGUUGGGGAUGGACGGGCGGCUUAUCCGCUUGUUGGUGGGGUAGUGGCUUACCAAGGCUGUGAAGGGUAGCCUGCCUGAGAGGGUGACCAGGCACAAUGGGCCUGAGAUACGGCCCAGACUGCAACGGGAGGCAGCAGGGGGGAAUAUUGCACAACGGGCGGAAGCCUGAUGCAGCAACGCCGGGUGCGGGAUGACGGCUUUCGGGGUAUAAACCGCUUUCGCCUGAGACGAAGCGUGGGUGACGGUAAUGGGUAAAGAAGCACCGGCUAACUACGUG